GACGAACGCUGGCGGCGUGCUUAACACAUGCAAGUCGAGCGGUAAGGCCCUUUCGGGGGUACGACGAGCGGCGAACGGGUGAGUAACACGUGGGUGACCUGCCCUCAGCUCUGGGAUAAGCCUGGGAAACCGGGUCUAAUACCGGAUAUGACUCCAUGACGCAUGUUGUGGGGUGGAAAGCCUUGUGCGGCUGAGGAUGGGCCCGCGGCCUAUCAGCUUGUUGGUGGGGUGAUGGCCUACCAAGGCGACGACGGGUAGCCGGCCUGAGAGGGCGACCGGCCACACUGGGACUGAGACACGGCCCAGACUCCUACGGGAGGCAGCAGUGGGGAAUCUUGCGCAAUGGGCGAAAGCCUGACGCAGCGACGCCGCGUGAGGGAUGACGGGCCUCGGUU
rnacentral:rRNA from 1 species